UACGUAGGGUGCGAGCGUUGUCCGGAAUUACUGGGCGUAAAGAGCUCGUAGGUGGUUUGUCGCGUUGUUCGUGAAAACUCACAACUCAAUUGUGGGCGUGCGGGCGAUACGGGGCAGACUGGAGUACUGCAGGGGAGACUGGAAUUCCUGGUGUAGCGGUGGAAUGCGCAGAUAUCAGGAGGAACACCGGUGGCGAAGGCGGUUCUCUGGGCAUGACCUGACGCUGAGGAGCGAAAGUGUGGGGAGCGAACAGG
rnacentral:rRNA from 1 species